rnacentral:rRNA from 1 species
UACCGAGGUGACAAACGUUGUCCGGAAUUAUUGGGCGUAAAGGGCGCGUAGGCGGUUGAGUAAGUCAGGUGUGAAAGCUCUGGGCUUAACCCAGGAAUUGCAUCUGAUACUGCUCGGCUUGAGUACGGUAGAGGAGGGUGGAAUUCCCAGUGUAGCGGUGAAAUGCGUAGAUAUUGGGAGGAACACCGGUGGCGAAGGCGGCCCUCUGGACCGAAACUGACACUGAAGCGCGAAAGCUAGGGGAGCAAACGGG